rnacentral:rRNA from 1 species
AUUGAACGCUGGCGGUAUGCUUUACACAUGCAAGUCGAGCGGCAGCGCGGGGCAACCUGGCGGCGAGCGGCGAACGGGUGAGGAACACAUCGGAACGUACCCGAGAGUGGGGGAUAACGCCGCGAAAGCGGCCCUAAUACCGCAUAUUCUCUUUGGAGGCAAGUGGGGGACCGCAAGGCCUCACGCUCACGGAGCGGCCGAUGUGCGAUUAGCUAGUUGGUGGGGUAAAGGCUUACAAAGGCGACGAGCGGUGGCUGGUCUGAGAGGAUGGUCAGCCACACUGAGAAUGAGACACGGCCCAGACUUCUACGGGAGGCAGCAGUGGGGAAUUUUGGACAAUGGGUGCAACCCUGAUCCAGCCAUGCCGCGUGCGGGAAGAAGGCCUUCGGGUUGUAAACCGCUUUUAGCCGGGAAGAAAAGGCGAUUCCUAAUAGGGGUCGUUCUUGACGGUACCGGCGGAAUAAGCACCGGCUAACUACGUGCCAGCCGCCGCCGUAA